rnacentral:rRNA from 1 species
AUGCAGUCGAACGAACCCUUCGGGGUUAGUGGCGCACGGGUGCGUAACGUGUGGGAAUCUGCCCUUAGGUACGGAAUAACAGUGACUAAAUUACUGCUAAUACCGUAUGAUGUCUUCGGACCAAAGAUUUAUCGCCUAGGGAUGAGCCCGCGUAGGAUUAGCUAGUUGGUGAGGUAAAGGCUCACCAAGGCUACGAUCCUUAGCUGGUCUGAGAGGAUGAUCAGCCACACUGGGACUGAGGCACGGCCCAGACUCCUACGGGAGGCAGCAGUGGGGAAUAUUGGACAAUGGGCGAAAGCCUGAUCCAGCAAUGCCGCGUGAGUGAAGAAGGCCUUCGGGUUGUAAAGCUCUUUUACCCGGGAAGAUAAUGACCGUACCGGGAGAAUAAGCCCCGGCUAACUCCGUGCCAGCAGCCGCGGUAAUACGGAGGGGGCUAGCGUUGUUCGGAAUCACUGGGCGUAAAGCGUGCGUAGGCGGCCAUUCAAGUCAGAGGUGAAAGCCCAGGGCUCAACCCUGGAACUGCCUUUGAAGCUAGGUGGCUGGAACACGGGAGAGGUGAGUGGAAUUCCGAGUGUAGAGGUGAAAUUCGUAGAUAUUCGGAAGAACACCAGUGGCGAAGGCGGCUCACUGGACCGUUGUUGACGCUGAGGCACGAAAGCGUGGGGAGCAAACAGGAUUAGAUACCCUGGUAGUCCACGCCGUAAACGAUGAUAACUAGCUGUUGGGGCUCUUGGAGCUCCGGUGGCGCAGCUAACGCAUUAAGUUAUCCGCCUGGGGAGUACGGCCGCAAGGUUAAAACUCAAAGGAAUUGACGGGGGCCUGCACAAGCGGUGGAGCAUGUGGUUUAAUU